UACGUAGGGGGCAAGCGUUGUCCGGAUUUAUUGGGCGUAAAGAGCGUGUAGGCGGCCAUGCAGGUCAGCUGUGAAAACUCGAGGCUCAACCUCGAGACGUCGGUUGAAACCGUAUGGCUAGAGUCCGGAAGAGGAGAGUGGAAUUCCCGGUGUAGCGGUGAAAUGCGCAGAUAUCGGGAAGAACACCCGUGGCGAAGGCGGCACUCUGGGACGGUACUGACGCUGAGACGCGAAAGCGUGGGGAGCGAACAGG
rnacentral:rRNA from 1 species